rnacentral:rRNA from 1 species
CCAGACUCCUACGGGAGGCAGCAGUGAGGAAUAUUGGUCAAUGGGCGGGAGCCUGAACCAGCCAAGUCGCGUGAGGGAAGACGGUCCUACGGAUUGUAAACCUCUUUUGCCGGGGAGCAACGGGGUCCUUGCGAGGGCCCGAUGAGAGUACCCGGAGAAAAAGCAUCGGCUAACUCCGUGCCAGCAGCCGCGGUAAUACGGAGGAUGCGAGCGUUAUCCGGAUUUAUUGGGUUUAAAGGGUGCGUAGGCGGGGGUGUAAGGCCAGCGUGAAAAUGCGGGGGCUAACCCCGGGCCUGCCGUUGAAACUGGCGUUCUUGAGUGGGCGAGAAGUAUGCGGAAUGCGUGGUGUAGCGGUGAAAUGCAUAGAUAUCACGCAGAACUCCGAUUGCGAAGGCAGCAUACCGGCGCCCAACUGACGCUGAAGCACGAAAGCGUGGGUAUCGAACAGGAUUAGAUACCCCUGUA